rnacentral:lncRNA from 1 species
GGUAGUGUGCCUCCACAAAUCUGUCAUUGGUCAUCUGAUACUCUAGGUAACAACUCACAACAUACUUAUUCAGAACAUCUCAAACAUCUCUAGUCGUAUUGUUGGAACUGUAUUAGUCAUACAAAUCAUCAGCAAGUCCAUUAAAAAUAUAAUUUUAUCAUUCUUCUCCCAUGGGUUCAUUCUUCAGCUUUCUUAUCAUUUU